rnacentral:rRNA from 1 species
UACGAAGGGAGCUAUCGUUGUUCGGAAUCACUGGGCGUAAAGCGCACGUAGGCGGGCUUGUAAGUCAGGGGUGAAAUCCCGGGGCUCAACCUCGGAACUGCCUCUGAUACUGCAAGUCUCGAGUCCGGAAGAGGUGGGUGGAAUUCCUAGUGUAGAGGUGAAAUUCGUAGAUAUUAGGAAGAACACCGGUGGCGAAGGCGGCCCACUGGUCCGGUACUGACGCUGAGGUGCGAAAGCGUGGGGAGCAAACAGG